GCCAGUGUGGUCUAGUGGUUUAAGUGUUGGACUAUGAUCCCGGAGGCCAGGGUUCGAAUCUCCGCCAGCCA